rnacentral:rRNA from 1 species
CGCAUGCGCAGCUACCAUGCAGUCGAGCGGUAACAGGGGUAGCUUGCUACCCGCUGACGAGCGGCGGACGGGUGAGUAAUGCAUAGGAAUCUGCCCGAUAGUGGGGGAUAACCUGGGGAAACCCAGGCUAAUACCGCAUACGUCCUACGGGAGAAAGGGGGCUCCGGCUCCCGCUAUUGGAUGAGCCUAUGUCGGAUUAGCUAGUUGGUAAGGUAAUGGCUUACCAAGGCAACGAUCCGUAGCUGGUCUGAGAGGAUGAUCAGCCACAUCGGGACUGAGACACGGCCCGAACUCCUACGGGAGGCAGCAGUGGGGAAUAUUGGACAAUGGGGGCAACCCUGAUCCAGCCAUGCCGCGUGUGUGAAGAAGGCCCUCGGGUUGUAAAGCACUUUCAGCGAGGAAGAACGCCUAUCGGUUAAUACCCGGUAGGAAAGACAUCACUCGCAGAAGAAGCACCGGCUAACUCCGUGCCAGCAGCCGCGGUAAUACGGAGGGUGCAAGCGUUAAUCGGAAUUACUGGGCGUAAAGCGCGCGUAGGUGGCUUGAUAAGCCGGUUGUGAAAGCCCCGGGCUCAACCUGGGAACGGCAUCCGGAACUGUCAGGCUAGAGUGCAGGAGAGGAAGGUAGAAUUCCCGGUGUAGCGGUGAAAUGCGUAGAGAUCGGGAGGAAUACCAGUGGCGAAGGCGGCCUUCUGGACUGACACUGACACUGAGGUGCGAAAGCGUGGGUAGCAAACAGGAUUAGAUACCCUGGUAGUCCACGCCGUAAACGAUGUCGACCAGCCGUUGGGUGCCUAGAGCACUUUGUGGCGAAGUUAACGCGAUAAGUCGACCGCCUGGGGAGUACGGCCGCAAGGUUAAAACUCAAAUGAAUUGACGGGGGCCCGCACAAGCGGUGGAGCAUGUGGUUUAAUUCGAUGCAACGCGAAGAACCUUACCUACCCUUGACAUCUACAGAAGCCGGAAGAGAUUCUGGUGUGCCUUCGGGAACUGUAGACAGGUGCUGCAUGGCUGUCGUCAGCUCGUGUGUGAAAUGUUGGAUUAAGUCCCG